GUGCUGCUCUGGCAGCACAUACACUAACACUGGAACGACACCGAGAUUAGCAUGGCCCCUGCUCCAGAGGACACGCAAACUCGUGAAGCGUUCCAUUUUUUU
ensembl:snRNA U6 U6 spliceosomal RNA